rnacentral:lncRNA from 1 species
UCGAUGUGGAGAAUCUCUUAGUUUGGCCAGCCGGCAAUAGUUCAGUUCGAAUUCGUUGUAUCUUGGAUUCCAUAUCCCCCCUUUGAACCCUCUACUGACAAACUCGUACGGGUCUAGGGUAUAAGUGCUAUGGGCCAUUUUAAAGGCAAUAAGUACCUCUUCCUCUGGUAUCAUUGCCCACGUGGAGAAUCUCUUCGUUUGGCCAGCCGGCAAUAGUUCAUUUUCGAAUUUGUGAUAUACCAGGGUACCCCCCUUAUCCUUUUCUGACUAACUCGUACGGGUCUAGGGCAUAAGUGCUAUGGGCCAUUUUAGAGGCAAUACCAACCUCUACCUCUGGUAUAAUGGUCGAUGUGGAGAAUCUCUUAGUUUGGCCAGCCGGCAAUAGUUCAUUUUCGAAUUUGUGAUAUACCAGGGUACCCCCCCUUAUCCUUUUCUGACUAACUCGUACGGGUCUAGGGCAUAAGUGCUAUGGGCCAUUUUAGAGGCAAUACCAACCUCUACCUCUGGUAUAAUGGUCGAUGUGGAGAAUCUCUUAGUUUGGCCAGCCGGCAAUAGUUCA